rnacentral:rRNA from 1 species
CCUGACGACCAUAGCAAGGUGGUACCACUCCUUCCCAUCCCGAACAGGACAGUGAAACGCCUUCGCGCCGAUGAUAGUGGACGGACGUCUGUGAAAG